rnacentral:misc_RNA from 1 species
GAUGAAGAACGUAGUAAAAUGCGAUACUUGGUGUGAAUUGCAGAAUCCCGUGAACCAUCGAGUUUUUGAACGCAAGUUGCGCCCGAAGCCUUUUGGCCGAGGGCACGUCUGCCUGGGCGUCACGCAUCGCGUCGCCCCCCCACAAAUUCUCCGUCAGGGGAGCUUGUGUUUCGGGGGCGGAUACUGGUCUCCCGUGCUCAUGGCGCGGUUGGCCGAAAUAGGAGUCCCUUCGAUGGACGCACGAACUAGUGGUGGUCGUAAAAACCCUCGUCUUUUGUUUCGUGCCGUUAGUCGCGAGGGAAGCUCUUCAAAACCCCAACGCGUCGUCUCUUGACGGCGCUUCGACCGCGACCCCAGGUCAGGCGGGACUACCCGCUGAGUUUAAGCAUAUCAAUAAGCGGAGGA